UUAAGUUAGUGGGCGGUCAGCAAAUGUCUUGAAAAGCUUUCUAGAGUCUUCAUUCUUUGCUUUAUGUAUAUUUCGCCUCACACGUAUGUUUGGUUUCCUAAGCUCUUGUGUAAUUGCAGUUGCUUUGCCUCCGAUGUUGCUUUGCCUGCACUGGUGAGUAGGCAGUGGACGGUGUCCCCAGUGAUCUUUGGUUUUGCAAGGUGAAAUCUUCAUUGUCUCACUUAGCUGAUUUUCUGAGCAAGCUGAUCUUCUAAAGUCUCCACUCUGUGCUUUAUUUGCCCCUUUUUUUUUGAUGGUUUGCUGUAGAUUAAUGUUUUGACAAUGGGUCGGAAUAGAGUCUUGAGUGGUGUUUUGGUCUUCUGGCAUUGGAUGGUAGUGGUUUUGGUGGAAAUUCACUGCUGUCCGCAUGCUAUUAUUGGAUAGGAGCAAUUUUGGGGGGUGUGCAAUUUCGGCCUUGUUUCCUCUCUUCUUUUCUUGGCUUUCUUUACCAGGUGUCCAAGCAAUUUUGGCUUUCUUCAACAUUCCCCACGUGCUGUUCUCGGACGGCAACAAGUUUAGCAGUGAUUUGAGGAAGUGGAGAAGUGGGCGACGAAGGAGGAGAGCUCCUUCCAUUGGCAUUAGAGGGAGAUUUAUAGUUGCAUAGGACAUUGGAAACCACAAGGCUCCGAUUGGAGUUCAAAGAUAAAUAGGCAUAUUGAGCCAGUCCCAAAAAUCAGAGGAAAAACUACUCGGGAUGUAAUUUGAGAACUAAUCUUUCUGAAGUGGCGUUGGACGCUGAAGAGUGCUGCUGGAGGGGAAUAAACAACAUGGUCGAGAUUCGAAAGAACCGUAAAGAAGAAAGCUUGCGGAAGAAGCUCCUGCAGAAUGCAUUUGCUGUUCAAUCGGAUACCUCUUCUGUCGAAAAAAAUGUCUACAUAAAUUAGAAUUUAUAUUUUGUUCCUUUGAAGUUGUUGCUGCAGAUGGCUUUAAGUAGGGCUGUGAUCAAAUUUAAAUUUCCGAUUGUGUUGUUUUUGGGCAGGAUUUUCACAAUUUUUUUACAGUUUCCUUGUGUUUGAAUAGAGCUAGGGCUUGCACUUCAGCUCUUUUCU